UACAGAGGUCCCGAGCGUUGUUCGGAUUCACUGGGCGUAAAGGGUGCGUAGGUGGUGAGGUAAGUCGGAUGUGAAAUCUCCAGGCUCAACCUGGAAACUGCAUUGGAAACUACCUUGCUAGAGGGUUUGAGGGGGGACUGGAAUUCUCGGUGUAGCAGUGAAAUGCGUAGAUAUCGAGAGGAACACCAGUGGCGAAGGCGAGUCCCUGGACAACACCUGACACUGAGGCACGAAAGCCGGGGGAGCAAACAGG
rnacentral:rRNA from 1 species